GACGAACCGUGCGAACGUUGUUCGGAUUCACUGGCUUAAAGGGCGCGUAGGCGGCUCGCCAAGUCAGGGGUGAAAUCGUUCGGCCCAACCGGACAAGGGCCCCUGAUACUGGCGGGCUCGAGGGAGGUAGGGGCAUGCGGAACUUCCGGUGGAGCGGUGAAAUGCGUAGAUAUACGGAAGGAACGCCGGUGGCGAAAGCGGCGUGCUGGACCUCGCCUGACGCUGAUGCGCGAAAGCCAGGGGAGCAAACGGGGAUUAAGAA
rnacentral:rRNA from 1 species